AACAUUGACAAGCUUGGUCGAAUCUGCCUUGAUAUUCUCAAAGAUAAAUGGAGCCCGGCUCUGCAGAUUCGAACAGUUUUGCUGAGUAUUCAAGCACUUCUCAGUGCCCCAAACCCGGAUGAUCCACUGUCAGAGAACAUCGCAAAACAUUGGAAGUCAAAUGAAGCAGAGGCUGUAGAAACAGCAAAGGAAUGGACCCGUCUAUAUGCCACUGGGGCUUGACACGUUGGGGGGAGCAGGAUAGCCUAUGCCGCAGCUCUUGUUAACAGUGAAAUGGUUUGAUGCCAGGACUACCAAGUCAUACAAACUUAUAUGAUGUAAAUUUCUUCCCUUCCGUGGAAGCCACACAAUUUUAAUAUCAGUAGCUGCUGGAGUCUUCUCUUUUUCAUAAUUUAUACUUUCUUAUUAAAUCCAAUGAUUGGAUGAUUCCUGUGAAUCAUUAUAUUUUAU
rnacentral:misc_RNA from 1 species